UACGGGGGGGGCAAGCGUUGUUCGGAAUUACUGGGCGUAAAGGGCUCGUAGGUGGCCAACUAAGUCAGACGUGAAAUCCCUCGGCUUAACCGGGGAACUGCGUCUGAUACUGGAUGGCUUGAGUUCGGGAGAGGGAUGCGGAAUUCCCGGUGUAGCGGUGAAAUGCGCAGAUAUCGGGAGGAACACCGGUGGCGAAGGCGGUUCUCUGGGCCUUACCUGACGCUGAGGAGCGAAAGCGUGGGGAGCGAACAGG
rnacentral:rRNA from 1 species